rnacentral:rRNA from 1 species
AUUGAACGCUGGCGGCAUGCUUUACACAUGCAAGUCGAACGGCAGCACGGGUGCUUGCACCUGGUGGCGAGUGGCGAACGGGUGAGUAAUGCACCGGAACGUAUCCAAUAAUGGGGGAUAACGCACCGAAAGGUGUGCUAACACCGCAUACGCCCUGAGGGGGAAAGCGGGGGACCGAAAGGCCUCGCGUUACUGGAGCGGCCGAUGCCGGAUUAGCUAGUUGGUGAGGUAAAGGCUCACCAAGGCGACGAUCCGUAGCUGGUCUGAGAGGACGACCAGCCACACUGGGACUGAGACACGGCCCAGACUCCUACGGGAGGCAGCAGUGGGGAAUUUUGGACAAUGGGCGCAAGCCUGAUCCAACCAUGCCGCGUGAGUGAAGAAGGCCUUCGGGUUGUAAAGCUCUUUCGCAAGGAAAGAAAACUCAUCUCCUAAUACGAGGUGAGGAUGACGGUACCUUGAUAAGAAGCACCGGCUAACUACGUGCCAGCCGCCGCCGUAA